ACGUCAUCCCCACCUUCCUCCGGUUUGUCACCGGCAGUCUCUCUAGAGUGCCCUUUCGUAGCAACUAGAGACAAGGGUUGCGCUCGUUGCGGGACUUAACCCAACAUCUCACGACACGAGCUGACGACAGCCAUGCAGCACCUGUGUCCACUUUCUCUUUCGAGCACCUAAUGCAUCUCUGCUUCGUUAGUGGCAUGUCAAGGGUAGGUAAGGUUUUUCGCGUUGCAUCGAAUUAAUCCACAUCAUCCACCGCUUGUGCGGGUCCCCGUCAAUUCCUUUGAGUUUUAAUCUUGCGACCGUACUCCCCAGGCGGUCAACUUCACGCGUUAGCUACGUUACUAAGGAAAUGAAUCCCCAACAACUAGUUGACAUCGUUUAGGGCGUGGACUACCAGGGUAUC
rnacentral:misc_RNA from 1 species